rnacentral:lncRNA from 13 species
CUUGUUUUUAUCAUUGCAAUAGAUACAAGCUUGGCUCUCAUUCUCUCUCUUGCUGCCACCAUGUGAGACAUACCUUUCAUAUUCCACCAUGAUUGUAAUACUCUUCAGCCACAUGGAACUUCAAAUUAUUGGCCACUUUGAACCCCUUGUACCUCUGAAUCUGGUGAAAAAGGGAGUCACCGUAGCAUCAUGGGUGAUUGUUACUGAUGACCAGAAGAAAACUGGACGGCUACUAACAACAAAGGGACAUGGAUGAACCUGGAGAACAUCAUUCUCAGCAAACUGACACAAGAACAGAAAAUGAAAUACCGCAUGUUCUCACUCAUAGGCGGAUGAUGAACAAUG